rnacentral:rRNA from 1 species
UGGGGAAUAGUGCACAAUGGGCGCAAGCCUGAUGCAGCCAUGCCGCGUGUAUGAAGAAGGCCUUCGGGUUGUAAAGUACUUUCAGCGGGGAGGAAGGGAGUAAAGGUAAUACCUUUGCUCAUUGACGUUACCCGCAGAAGAAGCACCGGCUAACUCCGUGCCAGCAGCCGCGGUAAUACGGAGGGUGCAAGCGUUAAUCGGAAUUACUGGGCGUAAAGAGCACGCAGGCGGUUUGUUAAGUCAGAUGUGAAAUCCCCGGGCUCAACCUGGGAACUUCAUCUGAUACUGGCAAGCUUGAGUCUCGUAGAGGGGGGUAGAAUUCCAGGUGUAGCGAUGAAAUGCGUAGAGAUCUGGAGGAAUACCGGUGGCGAAGGCGGCCCCCUGGACGAAGACUGACGCUCAGGUGCGAAAGCGUGGGGAGCAAACAGG